UACGUAGGGUGCAAGCGUUGUCCGGAUUCAUUGGGCGUAAAGAGCUCGUAGGCGGUUUGUCGCGUCUGCUGUGAAAACUCGGGGCUUAACCCCGGGCCUGCAGUGGGUACGGGCAGACUAGAGUGCGGUAGGGGAGACUGGAAUUCCUGGUGUAGCGGUGAAAUGCGCAGAUAUCAGGAGGAACACCGGUGGCGAAGGCGGGUCUCUGGGCCGUAACUGACGCUGAGGAGCGAAAGCGUGGGGAGCGAACAGG
rnacentral:rRNA from 1 species